GACGAACGCUGGCGGCGUGCUUAACACAUGCAAGUCGAACGGAAAGGCCCUGCUUUUGUGGGGUGCUCGAGUGGCGAACGGGUGAGUAACACGUGAGUAACCUGCCCUUGACUUUGGGAUAACUUCAGGAAACUGGGGCUAAUACCGGAUAGGAGCUCCUGCUGCAUGGUGGGGGUUGGAAAGUUUCGGCGGUUGGGGAUGGACUCGCGGCUUAUCAGCCUGUUGGUGGGGUAGUGGCUUACCAAGGCUUUGACGGGUAGCCGGCCUGAGAGGGUGACCGGCCACAUUGGGACUGAGAUACGGCCCAGACUCCUACGGGAGGCAGCAGUGGGGAAUAUUGCACAAUGGGCGGAAGCCUGAUGCAGCAACGCCGCGUGCGGGAUGACGGCCGUCGGGUUGUAAACCGCUUUCGCCUGUGACGAAGCGUGAGUGACGGUAAUGGGUAAAGAAGCACCGGCUAACUACGUG
rnacentral:rRNA from 1 species